AAUUCGACUUAAACUGCUGUUAAACUGAGCGCGGAGCGCCUAAACUUCAAACCGUCUUCCAUGUUGUUAAAUUGAACACCUCAACUUCAAACGACCGCCACGUUGUUAAACUUAGCAUCUCAAGUUUAAACCAACUGCCAUUAUUAAACUGAGCAUCUCAACUUCAAACUAAUCAACACGUCGUUAAAUUGAGCAACUCAACUUCAAACCGACCGCUAUGUUGUUAAAACUGAGCAACUCAACUUCAGGCCGAUCGCCAUGUCGUUAAACUGAGCACCACAACUUCAACUGCCAUGUCGUUAAACAAGGCACUUCAACUUCAACUGAUCGUCAUGUUAUUUAACUAAGCACAUCAACUUAAAAACAACUAUUAAGUCGUUAAACUGAGCACCUCAACUUCAAACCGAUCGCAAGUCGUUAAACUGAGCAGCUCAACUUCAAACCGACCGCUAUGUCGUUAAAGUGAGCUUCUCGACUUCGAAUCAAUCACUAUGUUAUUAAACUGAGCAAAUCAAGUUUAAACUCAACUUCAACCAACCUCUAUGUCAUUAAACUGGGCAUGCCAAACUCAAACAACUGUGAAGUUAUUAAACUAAACGAAUUCAACUUGAUUGGCAAGCCACCAAGCUGAGCAAAUCAAGUUUAAACUCAAUCCAACUUGAUCGCCAAGUCAUUAAAUUGAGCAAACUAAGUUCAAAAUCAAACUCAACCCAACUUGACCAUUGAGUAGUUAGACUGAGUAAAUCAAAUUCAAACUCAAACUUGAACCGACUGUCAUUUUAUUAAGGGCAUGUUUGGUUGCCCGAAAUUGGUUGAAGUGAAAAAAGUUACUUUCGCAAAAGUGACUUUUACAAAAGUGACUUUUCAAUUCGAUUGUUUGGUUUGCUAUAAUGUAGAUCAUGAAAAACUUUAGUUUUGUAAUUUUGAUUCUUUAAUUAUACAUAAAGAGGUGAAAAUAUAAACAAACGACUUAUACUCGCAAUUUAAUUUAAAUUUAAAUUUAUAUUUUGAAUUCAAAAUUAUAUUUUAAAAGUUAAAUUUAAACUUAAAUCUGAGUUAAAUAUAUAAUUAAAAUUUAAGAGAUAAAUUAAAUUUGCAAUUUGAAUUUAAAGUUUAAGUUAUAACUCAUAACUAAAAUUAAAUUCUAAAAUAAAAGUUCAACAUAGAAAUUACAACAUUUGUUCAAAUUUGAAUUCAUAAUUUGAAUUUAUAAUUUGAAUCAUAUUUUAAUUUACUCUUUGAUUUUAAAUUCUCAAUUUAAAUACGAAUUCACAAUUUGAAUUGAUAUUUAAAUUAAAAUUAAAAUUUGAGUUUAAAUCACAAUUCAAACUGAAUAUUUGAAUUCAUAAUUUGAAUUCAAAAUUCAAACUGAAAUACAAUUUAAAUUAAAUGUAAAUAGCAAAUUUAAAUUUGAAUUUGAAUUUAAACUUAAAAAUUGAAUUUUAAAUUCAAAUUUCGAUCAAUAAUUUGAAUUUAUGGUUAAAAUAAUUUGAAUUCAAAGUUCAAACUGAAGUUCUCAGCAAAAUAUAAUUAGAUUAAAAUUUGAAUUUCAAAUUUUAAAUUUUAAUUCUAUAAUUCAAAUUUAAAUAAAAAUUCCUAAAAUUUAAAUUUAAAUAUAAAGUCACAAAUCUGAUUUUAAAAAUUUUAUGUUGAAUUUGAAUUUAUAAAUAAAAUUUAGAAUGUGAACAUGAUUUUAAUUAAAAUUUAAAAUGAAAUUCAACUUUAAAAAUAAUUUGAAAGAUUAAAGUUAAGACCAAAUAUUACCUCUUAACUAAUUCUUCACUUUCGGUGACUUCUAAAUUUUUUAAGCCAAAGUCAAAAAAGUGAAAUUUAGUUAUAACUCACUUUAUCAGCCUAUUAUCAGCCUACUUUGCUGAAGUGAUUUUCAUAUUCACUUUCGCAAACCAAACAACCGAUAAGGCGUUACUUUUCAAAAGUGCCACUUUCGGUAUGUCCCUUUCAGCCAAGGAUUUAAGUGUCGUGGCACGGGAUCGUGCCGGAAACUUGCUGGCACGGUACGGCACUGUGUGUGCCGAGCCGUGCCGAUGCAUGUUGGUCAAAAAAAUUCUUGUGUGCCGACAGCCUGACACAUAAUAGCAUGAAAUAUUUAUUUUCUUUAGAAACAAAAUAUUCUAACUAUUUAUUAUGUCUUUUUAUCACAUCUUUUGAACUUUAUUAAGGAGAUUACUUACUAAUUUAAAGAAUAGAAGGUUUUGAGCUGUGCCAUCGGCACGGGGUCUGUAUCGUGCCGGUAUCUUGUUGGCACGGUAUGGCACGGUAGAUACGACCCGUGCCGACGGGCACUUAAAAUCUUGCUUUCAGCCAAUCAAAAAUGCCCUAAACUGAGCAUGGCAACAUCAAACGACCGCCACUGUAUUAAACUAAGCAAUUUAAUUCAACUUCAAACCAAUUGCCAUAUCAUUAAACUGAGUAACUCAAUUCCAAAUCGAUUGCUAUGUUGUAAAACUAAACAAUCCAACUUCACUUUAACCGCGAUGUCCAUAAACUGAGGAUUUCACUCAUGUACAGUGGAGAUCUGUCUUUGCUUAAGCUAUGUACCAAAAAUUAUAUCAAUAAAAGUUCAUCUUUAUACUCUAGUCUCUUUAUAUUAUCAGUAUUAAAUUUGGUCUUUUAAUCGAGGGUUCCUUAACACUGUGAGUGUGGGGUAAUUAAUUGUAGAUUCUUGAAUUUGCUGGAAGUCAUGAACUUAUAAAUAUGAUUUCAAAUUAAAACUUAAACAAAUUUGAUCUAUACCAUGAAUAACCACUUGUCGGCACAGAACUGCAGUAGGCAGCAUGGGCGAGCGGCACUGGAACAAAGUGCGGGGCAGCUUAGCGCCUUCGCAUUCUGCACCGAUCUUCUCUCUAUUGACUUAUCCACCGAAUCACAAUAUUAUUAAUUAUUUUUUUCUACACUAAUAAUUUUCUAUUUUGUUGUUGUUCUUUUUCACUAUUAUUACAACCCAUUCUACACUCUAAUAAUAUAUUUUGGAUAUUGGGAUAAUAUCUAACAUACCCUUCAAAACUUUAAAAAAUCUAAUAUAUCUUUGGUUGACAAAAAUGCCUAUUGAUUUCCAAAAAUUCCUUAAAGUAUCCCAAAACCCACUAGGGUUUACUAAUGGGAUUUGGGUUUUAGAAGGGUAUUUUGGUAAUUUCAGAGUAAAUAUGAAAAUUUUGAAUAGUAGUCAGGGGUAAAUAAGCAAAAGUCCCUUUGAUAUUUAACUUAUUAAAAGAAUAAUUCUGAGUUAAGAAGAAUUUUCUUAAUUAUGCUAUUUUUAAAUUGUGUUUUCUAUUAGAUAUUUUAAAUAUAUUUUAUUAAUAAAAUAUUAAAAAUAAUGUUUUGGUAGUGUUUUAUCGAUUUAUGAUAUUUACGACACUUUUCAGACGAAUGUUAGCUAAACAACAUUCAAUUGCAAACAACACUUAUAUGACAGAUUAUUAAAC
rnacentral:lncRNA from 1 species